rnacentral:rRNA from 1 species
AAACUAACAAGGAUUCCCCUAGUAACGGCGAGUGAAGCGGGAUGAGCUCAAAUUUGUAAUCUGGUGGACUCAGUUCAUCCGAGUUGUAAUCUAUAGAAGUGUUUUCCGCGCUGGACCGUGUCUAAGUCCCUUGGAACAGGGUGUCAGAGAGGGUGAGAAUCCCGUGCUUGAUACGACCACCAGUGCUAUGUGAUACACUUUCAACGAGUCGAGUUGUUUGGGAAUGCAGCUCAAAAUGGGUGGUAAAUUCCAUCUAAAGCUAAAUAUUGGCGAGAGACCGAUAGCGAACAAGUACCGUGAGGGAAAGAUGAAAAGCACUUUGGAAAGAGAGUUAAACAGUACGUGAAAUUGUUAAAAGGGAAACGAUUGAAGUCAGUCGUGCUCUCUGGGACUCAGCCGGUUCUUCCGGUGUACUUCCCAGUGAGCGGGUCAACAUCAGUUUAGAUCGCUGGAUAAAGGUAUUAGGAAGGUGGCUCCCUCGGGAGUGUUAUAGCCUAGUAUCGCAUACAGUGGUUUAGACUGAGGAACGCAGCUCGCCUUUAUGGCCGGGGUUCGCCCACGUCCGAGCUUAGGAUGUUGACAUAAUGGCUUUAAACGAC